AUACGUAGGUGGCAAGCGUUGUCCGGAAUUAUUGGGCGUAAAGCGCAUGUAGGCGGUAAUUUAAGUCUGUCGUGAAACUGCGGGGCUCGGCCCCGUAUGGCGAUGGAAACUGGGUUACUUGAGGGCAGGAGGGGAAAGGGGAACUCCCAGGGAAGCGGUAAAAUGCGUAGAUAUUGGGAAGAACACCGGUGGCGAAGGCGCCUUUCUGGACUGUGUCUGACGCUGAGAUGCGAAAGCCAGGGUAGCGAACGGGAUUAGAUACCCCGGUAGUCCUGGCCGUAAACGAUGGGUACUAGGUGUGGGAGGUAUCGACCCCUUCCGUGCCGGAGUUAACGCAAUAAGUACCCCGCCUGGGGAGUACGGCCGCAAGGCUUAAACUCAAAUGAAUUGACGGGG
rnacentral:rRNA from 1 species